ACUUUUUUUUUUUUUUUUUUUUUUUUUUUGUCUUCUGUCUUGUUGGGGCUGCACCCAGCGUACACAGGUUCCCAGGCUAGGGGUCUAAUCGGAGCUGUAGCUGCCGGCCUACACCAUAGCCACAGCAACACAGGAUCCGAGCCAAGUCUGAGACCUACACCACAGCUCACGGCAAUGCCGGAUCCUGAACCCACUGAGUGAGAUGUGGGUUCAAUCCCUGGCCUAGGUCAGUGGUUUAAGGAUUUGGUGUUUCUGUGAGGUGCAGUGUAGGUCACCGAAGUGGCUCAGAUCUGAUGUUGCUGUGGUUGUGCUCUAGGCUGGCAGCUGCAGCUCCAAUUUGUCCCCCUAGCUCUGGGAACUUCCAUAUGCCACAGAUGCAGCCCUAAGCAAAGGUGGGGGAGGGGGAAGAAUCCAACUGGAUUUAAUUAGGGUCAGUAUGGAUUGUGGUUACAGUAUGAUUUUAGUAAGAUUUAAUCAUCUCUCAUUUGUCAACCUUGUCCUACUAGAUUUUUGAUUGAGAGACUGACAAGUUUAUUCUCCAUAGUCUGAAAGAGUGCAGGAGAUUCAGUUCUUUCUUUGGAGGUUUUGAGAUUGGCCCUUUGAUUUCUUGCCUCACACUGCUUCAUAUUCAGGCAAUGUUGGAGACUUUGUCAUUUGUUGUUUGUGGUUAUCUUCCCUUUUCUAUUAGGUUUUCCCCUAAGUACCAUGAAACUAAGGAAAAUUUCAGUCUGUAAUUCUAGGUUAUUCCCCCAGCCUUCUGCAUCACUGUAGAACUCAGCAAAUAUCCUCUUUAGCCUUGUAUUUGGAGCUUUUGAGUUUUCAGUCCAUCACACUUAACAGCUGCUUACUAUUUUCGCAUGUCUUCCUGCCUGGGCCAAUCUCAAUUCUCAGUCUCUGCCUGGCAUGUUUAAAUGUUUCUAGGGAAGAUGAUCACCUAGCAGGUGAUCAUAAUCUCACCUAAAGAGGGCUCUUCUCUUUCUGGAAUUUCAGUUUCUUUACUUUUUGUUAGUUCUUAAGCUCUCUGAUGUCUUAACAAUAUGACUGCAUUUCAUUUGUUUUCUCCCUAAUUGUUACUGAAGUAUCAUAUACCUCCAGUGCCUAAAGAUUGAAGCAGUGAAAUCUAUUUUUUUCUGAUAUAAAAGUGUUAUAUCCUUAUUAACUUUUGCUAAAUUAUAAUGUGUGACAGAUGACCCCAGUAUUUCAUUGGUUUGUAACAACAAAGCUUUAUUUUUUGCUUUUGGUACGUAUUACCUGAAGGUUGGCAGUGGCUCUGCUUUUGCUCCAUGUGUCUUCUAAUUCUGAGAUCCAGGCUGGAGACAACUCCUAUUUGGGCCAUUCUGUUCUUAAAACAGGAAAAAAAAGAUUUGGCAGAAAUGUGUUCUGGCUCUUAAGACUUCUGCUUGGAUGUUUGUUUAUAAGCCAUUGGCCAAAGCAGAAGUCAGUGGAGCAGAGAUGUUUACUCCUAUUUGAAUACUAUGUUACAUAGAAAGAAGUAGAGGUGAUUAUCCUUUUGAAGGAAGGAAGAGUGAAUAAUUGCCAAUUGUAAUAAAAUUUACCAGCCGUGCUAACUGAAAAUAAAUGUGGAUAUGUAUAGUAUUUAUAGUAGAAUUCUACCUUAUGCCCUCUGAGAUCAUCAGUGAUGUUAUUUUCGUAUAAAUUCAGGAUUGAAAUCUUAUUUUUGUAAUUUGCUGUUUCUUUAAAAAUAAUAGUUUUGAUA
rnacentral:lncRNA from 1 species